rnacentral:ncRNA from 1 species
ACCCCUGUGAGAAUGCCCCACAGUUCCACUUCCUGAAACAAGGAGCAGGUAUCAGGCACGCUACCGCAGCCCAUUACACCUUGCUUAGCCACACCCCCAAGGGACAACAGCAGUGAUAAACAUUAAGCUAUGAGCGAAAGCUUGACUUAGUUAAGGCUUACAGGGCCGGUAAAACUCGUGCCAGCCACCGCGGUUAUACGAGAGGCCCAAGUUGAUAGACCUUCGGCGUAAAGUGUGGUUAGAACAACAAGGAACUAAAGCCAAACGCUCUCAAAACUGUUAUACGCGCUUGAGAGUCAGAAGCCCCACCACGAAAGUGGCUUUACAUCAUUGAACCCACGAAAGCUAAGACACAAACUGGGAUUAGAUACCCCACUAUGCUUAGCCUUAAACUUAGGUAACCAAUUUACACAUGUUACCCGCCUGGGUACUACGAGCACUAGCUUGAAACCCAAAGGACUUGGCGGUGCUUAAUAACCCCCUAGAGGAGCCUGUUCUAGAACCGAUAACCCUCGUUCAACCUCACCCUUUCUUGUCUUGUCCGCCUAUAUACCGCCGUCGUCAGCUUACCCUGUGAAGGUUAAAUAGUAAGCGAAAUUGGUAAAACUCAAAACGUCAGGUCGAGGUGUAGCAAAUGAAAGGGAAAGAAAUGGGCUACAUUUCCUGCCAUAGGAAAUUAACGGAAAGUACAGUGAAACCUGUGCUAGAAGGAGGAUUUAGUAGUAAGAUGGGAACAGAGCGCCCCCCUGAAACUGGCCCUUAAGCGCGCACACACCGCCCGUCACUCUCCCCAAGCUGGAUACAACAAAAUAAUUAAACCCUAUAAGCAGCAAAGGGGAGGCAAGUCGUAACAUGGUAAGUAUACCGGAAGGUGUGCUUGGAUAAAU